CCUACGGGAGGCAGCAGUAAGGAAUAUUGGACAAUGGAGGAAACUCUGAUCCAGCGAUGCCGCGUGAAGGAAGACGGCCCUAUGGGUUGUAAACUUCUUUUGUACAGGAAGAAACCUUUCCACGUGUGGAAAGCUGACGGUACUGUAAGAAUAAGGAUCGGCUAACUCCGUGCCAGCAGCCGCGGUAAUACGGAGGAUCCAAGCGUUAUCCGGAAUUAUUGGGUUUAAAGGGUCCGCAGGCUGUUUGUUAAGUCAGAGGUGAAAUCCUACCGCUCAACGGUAGAACUGCCCUUGAUACUGGCAAACUUGAGUUAUUGUGAAGUAGUUAGAAUGUGUAGUGUAGCGGUGAAAUGCAUAGAUAUUACACAGAAUACCAAUUGCGAAGGCAGAUUACUAACAAUUAACUGACGCUGAGGGACGAAAGCGUGGGUAGCGAACAGGAUUAGAUACCCUGGUAGUCCACGCCGUAAACGAUGGUCACUAGCUGUUCGAUGUACAUUGGUACAUUGAGUGGCUAAGCGAAAGUGAUAAGUGACCCACCUGGGGAGUACGCUCGCAAGAGUGAAACUCAAAGGAAUUGACGG
rnacentral:rRNA from 1 species